GACGAACGCUGGCGGCGUGCUUAACACAUGCAAGUCGAACGGAAAGGCCCUGCUUUUGUGGGGUGCUAGAGUGGCGAACGGGUGCGUAACACGUGAGUAACCUGCCCUUGACUUUGGGAUAACUUCAGGAAACUGGGGCUAAUACCGGCUAGGAGCUCCUGCUGCAUGGUGGGGGUUGGAAAGUUUCGGCGGGUGGGGAUGGACUCGCGGCUUAUCAGCUUGUUGGUGGGGUAGUGGCUUACCCAGGCUUUGACGGUUAGCCGGCCUGUGAGGGUGACCGGCCACAUUGGGACUGAGAUGCGGCCGAGACUCCUACGGGAGACAGCAGUGAGGAAUAUUGCACAAUGGGCGGAAGCCUGUUGCAGCAACGCCGCGGGCGGGAUGACGGCCGUCGGGUUGUAAACCGCUUGCGCCUUUGACGAAGCGUGAGUGACGGUAAUGGGUAAAGAAGCACCGGCUAACUACGUG
rnacentral:rRNA from 1 species